CCUACGGGGUGCAGCAGUGGGGAAUAUUGCACAAUGGGGGACACCCUGAUGCAGCGACGCCGCGUGAAGGAAGAAGUAUUUCGGUAUGUAAACUUCUAUCAGCAGGGAAGAAACUGACGGUACCUGACUAAGCAGCCCCGGCUCACUACGUGCCAGCAGCCGCGGUAAUACGUAGGGGGCAAGCGUUAUCCGGAUUUACUGGGGGUAAAGGGAGCGUCGGCGGCGAUGCAAGUCAGCAGUGAAAGCCCGGGGCUCAACUCCGGGACUGCUUUUGAAACUGUAUGGCUAGAUUGCAGGAGAGGCAAGUGGAAUUCCUAGUGUAGCGGUGAAAUGCGUAGAGAUUAGGAGGAACACCAGUGGCGAAGGCGGCUUGCUGGACUGUAAAUGACGCUGAGGCUCGAAAGCGUGGGGAGCAAACAGGAUUAGAUACCCUUGUAGUC
rnacentral:rRNA from 1 species